AAACUCUGGAGAAUCUCAUUUUGAGUGCCGAAGGUGCAAGGUGAAAGCCGAAUCUCUCAGGCAAAAGGACAGAGACU
rnacentral:ncRNA from 1 species